GGGUGCGAUCAUAAAGGCACUAAUGCACCGGAUCCCAUCAGAACUCUGCAAUUAAGCUUGCUUGGGCGAGAGUAGUACUAGGAUGGGUGACCUCCCGGGAAGUGCUCGUGUUGCACCCC
rfam:Brassica oleracea var. oleracea cultivar TO1000 chromosome C4, whole genome shotgun sequence